rnacentral:rRNA from 1 species
GACGAACCGUGCGAACGUUAUUCGGAAUCACUGGGCUUAAAGCGCGUGUAGGCGGUCCGCCGCGUCGGCUGCUGAAAUCCCCCGGCUCAACCGGGGAAGGGGCACCGAUACGGGCGGCCUGGAGGGGGGUAGGGGGGCCUGGAACUUCCGGUGGAGCGGUGAAAUGCGUUGAGAUCGGAAGGAACGCCCGUGGCGAAAGCGAGGUCCUGGACGUUUUCUGACGCUGAGACGCGAAAGCCAGGGGAGCGAACGGG